CAAUAGCGUAUAUUUAAGUUGCUGCAGUUAAAAAGCUCGUAGUUGGAUUUCGGGUGGGAAUGGCCGGUCCGCCGUUUCGGUGUGCACUUGCUACGCCCACCUUGCUGCCGGGGACGUGCUCUUGAGUUCACGCUCGGGACACGGAGUCGGCGAAGUUACCUUGAGUAAAUUAGAGUGUUCAAAGCAGGCCUACGCUCUGAAUACAUUAGCAUGGAAUAACACGAUAGGACUCUGGCCUAUCUUGUUGGUCUGUAGGACCGGAGUAAUGAUUAAGAGGGACAGUCGGGGGCAUUCGUAUUUCAUUGUCAGAGGUGAAAUUCUUGGAUUUAUGAAAGACGAACUACUGCGAAAGCAUUUGCCAAGGAUGUUUUCAUUAA
rnacentral:rRNA from 1 species